UACGAAGGGGGCUAGCGUUGCUCGGAAUCACUGGGCGUAAAGGGCGCGUAGGCGGAUAGUUAAGUUGGGGGUGAAAGCCCGGGGCUCAACCUCGGAAUUGCCUUCAAUACUGGCUAUCUUGAGUGUGAGAGAGGUGUGUGGAACUCCGAGUGUAGAGGUGAAAUUCGUAGAUAUUCGGAAGAACACCAGUGGCGAAGGCGACACACUGGCUCACUACUGACGCUGAGGCGCGAAAGCGUGGGGAGCAAACAGG
rnacentral:rRNA from 1 species